UAUUAUUUAGAAACAAUUAUUUAUAUAUUUUUGAAAAAAUUUCGACUUUUUGAUUUAUUUUUCUCAGAAGAAUUUUUACGUUUCAAGUUAUUUCAAAUAUAUCUUUAGAGUGAAAUUCUGUUAGUGAACUGUUAGCAAUUAGUUGUUCUGUGAAAUUGCCAUUUUGCCUUUUUAAAUAUACUCUUCUAUCAUCACUAACUUUUCUUAUUUGCCCUUAAGUUGGGGGUAAACUGGUAAAGAACUAUUUUGAUUUUUUGAUUUUUUCAAAUAUAUCCCUCUACUAUUACCAGCUUUUCUUAUUUAUCCUUAACUUUGGUAGAUAUUUAACUUACGUUUAACUUGAUAUAACUUAACGGAUAGUAAUUACGGGUGUAUUUUUAAUAACGGGGGAACAUAUGAGAGGUAUAUUGGAAAUAAAAAAAGGUAGGAGUAAAUUAGAUAUUUUUGAAAUUUUGAGAGGUAUAUAGGCAAUUAUUCAUGUUAUUUAAAUUAGGUAUAAAAGUGCAGAAUCUAUCUGAAUUAUAGAUUAUUUUGAAUUAAUUAUUUAAUCUUUCAAAAUCUUAAUUUUACUAUCUGAACUUUCGAUUAUUUGAUUUGUGUCAGUCACGACACUUUGAUUCAAAAUUUAAACUAGUUACUUACUUUAAUGAAUUUAUAGUUACGAGAAUUAUAUAAGGUAUAUUAACUAACUAUAUAAAGAUAAACGAUGUAUUCAAAUAAGCUCAGCUAAAAAUAUAAAGCGACUAAACUUAAACAUGUAACCUUGAGUACCAAUCAUUAAACCAUUAGCCAACUGCAUUAAAUACGAUCAGUAAUAGAAUUGAGAAAUUAUUUUUAACUUUUUAAUAUUUAAAAAUAAUUGGUAUAUAAAUUAGUAAAAUUUACACUCACUUUUUAAGCGUACAAAUAACAUUCCUAUGAUGAAAACAA
rnacentral:lncRNA from 1 species